GAUUAAGUUAUUAAGGGCGCACGGUGGAUGCCUUGGCACUAGAAGCCGAUGAAGGACGUUACUAACGACGAUAUGCUUUGGGGAGCUGUAAGUAAGCUUUGAUCCAGAGAUUUCCGAAUGGGGAAACCCAGCAUGAGUUAUGUCAUGUUAUCGAUAUGUGAAUACAUAGCAUAUCAGAAGGCACACCCGGAGAACUGAAACAUCUUAGUACCCGGAGGAAGAGAAAGAAAAUUCGAUUCCCUUAGUAGCGGCGAGCGAAACGGGAAGAGCCCAAACCAACAAGCUUGCUUGUUGGGGUUGUAGGACACUCUAUACGGAGUUACAAAGGACGACAUUAGACGAAUCAUCUGGAAAGAUGAAUCAAAGAAGGUAAUAAUCCUGUAGUCGAAAAUGUUAUCUCUCUUGAGUGGAUCCUGAGUACGACGGAGCACGUGAAAUUCCGUCGGAAUCUGGGAGGACCAUCUCCUAAGGCUAAAUACUCUCUAGUGACCGAUAGUGAACCAGUACCGUGAGGGAAAGGUGAAAAGCACCCCGGAAGGGGAGUGAAAUAGAACCUGAAACCGUGUGCUUACAAGUAGUCAGAGCCCGUUAAUGGGUGAUGGCGUGCCUUUUGUAGAAUGAACCGGCGAGUUACGAUUUGAUGCAAGGUUAAGCAGUAAAUGUGGAGCCGUAGCGAAAGCGAGUCUGAAUAGGGCGUUUAGUAUUUGGUCGUAGACCCGAAACCAGGUGAUCUACCCUUGGUCAGGUUGAAGUUCAGGUAACACUGAAUGGAGGACCGAACCGACUUACGUUGAAAAGUGAGCGGAUGAACUGAGGGUAGCGGAGAAAUUCCAAUCGAACCUGGAGAUAGCUGGUUCUCUCCGAAAUAGCUUUAGGGCUAGCCUCAAGUGAUGAUUAUUGGAGGUAGAGCACUGUUUGGACGAGGGGCCCCUCUCGGGUUACCGAAUUCAGACAAACUCCGAAUGCCAAUUAAUUUAACUUGGGAGUCAGAACAUGGGUGAUAAGGUCCGUGUUCGAAAGGGAAACAGCCCAGACCACCAGCUAAGGUCCCAAAAUAUAUGUUAAGUGGAAAAGGAUGUGGCGUUGCCCAGACAACUAGGAUGUUGGCUUAGAAGCAGCCAUCAUUUAAAGAGUGCGUAAUAGCUCACUAGUCGAGUGACACUGCGCCGAAAAUGUACCGGGGCUAAACAUAUUACCGAAGCUGUGGAUUGUCCUUUGGACAAUGGUAGGAGAGCGUUCUAAGGGCGUUGAAGCAUGAUCGUAAGGACAUGUGGAGCGCUUAGAAGUGAGAAUGCCGGUGUGAGUAGCGAAAGACGGGUGAGAAUCCCGUCCACCGAUUGACUAAGGUUUCCAGAGGAAGGCUCGUCCGCUCUGGGUUAGUCGGGUCCUAAGCUGAGGCCGACAGGCGUAGGCGAUGGAUAACAGGUUGAUAUUCCUGUACCACCUAUAAUCGUUUUAAUCGAUGGGGGGACGCAGUAGGAUAGGCGAAGCGUGCGAUUGGAUUGCACGUCUAAGCAGUAAGGCUGAGUAUUAGGCAAAUCCGGUACUCGUUAAGGCUGAGCUGUGAUGGGGAGAAGACAUUGAGUCUUCGAGUCGUUGAUUUCACACUGCCGAGAAAAGCCUCUAGAUAGAAAAUAGGUGCCCGUACCGCAAACCGACACAGGUAGUCAAGAUGAGAAUUCUAAGGUGAGCGAGCGAACUCUCGUUAAGGAACUCGGCAAAAUGACCCCGUAACUUCGGGAGAAGGGGUGCUCUUUAGGGUUAACGCCCAGAAGAGCCGCAGUGAAUAGGCCCAAGCGACUGUUUAUCAAAAACACAGGUCUCUGCUAAACCGUAAGGUGAUGUAUAGGGGCUGACGCCUGCCCGGUGCUGGAAGGUUAAGAGGAGUGGUUAGCUUCUGCGAAGCUACGAAUCGAAGCCCCAGUAAACGGCGGCCGUAACUAUAACGGUCCUAAGGUAGCGAAAUUCCUUGUCGGGUAAGUUCCGACCCGCACGAAAGGCGUAACGAUUUGGGCACUGUCUCAACGAGAGACUCGGUGAAAUCAUAGUACCUGUGAAGAUGCAGGUUACCCGCGACAGGACGGAAAGACCCCGUGGAGCUUUACUGUAGCCUGAUAUUGAAAUUCGGCACAGCUUGUACAGGAUAGGUAGGAGCCUUUGAAACGUGAGCGCUAGCUUACGUGGAGGCGCUGGUGGGAUACUACCCUAGCUGUGUUGGCUUUCUAACCCACACCACUUAUCGUGGUGGGAGACAGUGUCAGGCGGGCAGUUUGACUGGGGCGGUCGCCUCCUAAAAGGUAACGGAGGCGCUCAAAGGUUCCCUCAGAAUGGUUGGAAAUCAUUCAUAGAGUGUAAAGGCAUAAGGGAGCUUGACUGCGAGACCUACAAGUCGAGCAGGGUCGAAAGACGGACUUAGUGAUCCGGUGGUUCCGCAUGGAAGGGCCAUCGCUCAACGGAUAAAAGCUACCCCGGGGAUAACAGGCUUAUCUCCCCCAAGAGUUCACAUCGACGGGGAGGUUUGGCACCUCGAUGUCGGCUCAUCGCAUCCUGGGGCUGUAGUCGGUCCCAAGGGUUGGGCUGUUCGCCCAUUAAAGCGGUACGCGAGCUGGGUUCAGAACGUCGUGAGACAGUUCGGUCCCUAUCCGUCGUGGGCGUAGGAAAUUUGAGAGGAGCUGUCCUUAGUACGAGAGGACCGGGAUGGACAUACCUCUGGUGUACCAGUUGUCGUGCCAACGGCAUAGCUGGGUAGCUAUGUGUGGACGGGAUAAGUGCUGAAAGCAUCUAAGCAUGAAGCCCCCUCAAGAUGAGAUUUCCCAACUUCGGUUAUAAGAUCCCUCAAAGAUGAUGAGGUUAAUAGGUUCGAGGUGGAAGCAUGGUGACAUGUGGAGCUGACGAAUACUAAUCGAUCGAAGACUUAAUCAA
rnacentral:rRNA from 1 species